rnacentral:rRNA from 1 species
CCUACGGGAGGCAGCAGUAGGGAAUAUUGCACAAUGGGGGAAACCCUGAUGCAGCGACGCCGCGUGGACGAUGAAGCGCCUCGGCGUGUAAAGUCCUGUCAUAAGGGAAGAAAAUGACGGUACCUGAAGAAUAAGCGCCGGCUAACUCCGUGCCAGCAGCCGCGGUAAUACGUUGGGGGGACGCGUUAAUCGGUUUUACUGGGGGUAAAGGGGGCGGAGGCGGGGUUGCAAGACAGGUGUGAAAGCCCAGGGCCUAAACCCGGGACUGCUUUUGGAACUGGGUGGCUAGAGUACGGGAGAGGUAGGCGGAAUUCCUGGUGAAGCGGUGAAAUGCGUAGAUAUCAGGAGGAACAC